GUGAUUGUAGCUCAGUUGGUUAGAGCGUCGGAUUGUGGUUCCGAAGGUCGGGGGUUCGAGACCCCUCAUUCACC
rfam:Flavobacterium suncheonense GH29-5 = DSM 17707 strain GH29-5 contig2, whole genome shotgun sequence.